rnacentral:snRNA from 1 species
AACAAGGAUUCCCUUAGUAACG